rnacentral:lncRNA from 1 species
AAAUAUUUCCAUUGGAACAAGGGAAAUAAUUAACUCAACAUAUCUUUUAUUGAAGAUUUUUUUUGUUGUUAAAAGGAGUACUUUUUUUAACUUUUUAAAAGUUUUAAAAACUUUUAUAAAAGGCUAUAAUACUUAACAUAUAGAGCAUUUUUAAAAAGCAAGUUCACAUUUUUUCACCUAAUCCAUAAAAUGAUCUUUUGAGGAAAAUAUUGUUCCCACCACUCUAUAAGCAAUAAAACUAAAAUUCUGUAUUACAUAUUACAUAAAUUUUCCAAAGUCAACCAGCUAAUAAGCAGAAGGUUAGGCCAGUACUUCAUUCCAGGUAUUUUGAUCAUAAAAUUUAUACUUUUUCUAAUGUAUACAUUACUUUGUUAAAUUAAGACAUUGGCUCCUGAAAAAGGAAAAGCAUAUUGUUCUCUACAUAUUUUCCUCCAAUUUUUUGUCCGACAAUGUCUUUUGCUUUCCAUCUUUGAAAGAUAAACAUUUCACAAAAAAGCAUAAUGCAGUUUAUAAUUUUUAAAGAGUGUUAAUCUAUUUGAGCCAGAACACAAACCCAGCUUUUUAGAUUGAUGUUCUUUGUUUAUUGAUCUUCAUGAAUUCAAGUAAUCUUUGACCUUACUGCACUGCAUAAUGUCCUCUGCAUUACCUUUUUUUUAUAUUCUUCUGCUAGCAAAAUACCAAAGAACCCGAGGUAAUUAAAAUAAACAGCAAUAGAGAAACAAACAAAAGCAGCAGCUGAGACUAUGGUGCCCACAGGGGUUGGAAGGAUUUUUAUGCCAAGGCUAAACCGGGUCCAGUGCCAGCACUCAGACCUCAAAGACAGCUGCCUCCUGGAGUCACUGCUCUGUUAACAGGCUCUACAGGAAUCAAGUCUGUUACACUAUGAAGCCCAGGAAAACUAUCUUAAUUUGCUGCACCCAUGGGAGCUGACAGAUUGUAGUGCAAUAAAGUCAAUUUAACAUAUAGCUUCA